rnacentral:lncRNA from 1 species
CCUGCUUGAGUGGUUUGCCCUGCUAUCCUGUGAUGCCAGCUGCUGUGUGUUGUGAGGCGCAAUCAGGAAAGCUCUGAAGUGGCAACAUGGUGAGCACAGGGUCACUGCCAAGUACUGGGAGGAGCAAGAGGAUGAGCGUCGGGAGCUCUUGUGUUGGAUCUUUUCCGGGUGUACAUGGGAAGCAGCUGCCAUGUGCCGCCACCUUCCUUGUGUAAGGUCCCUUGUGGUCCCAACCACACCCUGUACCCAGAGCAUUGUUCCAGCCAUCUAUGUUUGUCAGAGUCAGUUUAAAGAAAAACAAAAACUGUGAGUUCCUUGUAUGAAGGUAUGAGUAUGAAGCCUG